CAUCCUCCAAGGCUAAAUACUCCUGACUGACCGAUAGUGAACCAGUACCGUGAGGGAAAGGCGAAAAGAACCCCGGCGAGGGGAGUGAAAAAGAACCUGAAACCGUGUACGUACAAGCAGUGGGAGCCCCACCACUAAGCCAGUGGUGAACUCCACAUACGCAUCCUUUGCUGAGGAUACGGUUAACGGAGCGAAAGCGACGUUCAACCUCAAAAGAAGCAGAGGGGGCUUAGUGGUGGGGUGACUGCGUACCUUUUGUAUAAUGGGUCAGCGACUUAUAUUCUGUAGCAAGGUUAACCGAAUAGGGGAGCCG
rnacentral:rRNA from 1 species